ensembl:lncRNA
UUCCCUUCCCUUCCCUUCCCUUCCCUUCCCUUCCCUUCCCUUCCCUCAAUGUUAUUUUAUUUUGUUGUAGAAGAAAGGCCCCUGGAUUUUACCCAGAAAUGUGUGCAGAGCACGCCCACCUUUGUAAUGCCUGAAACCAAAAUAAUAAUUCCUCAUUUAUUAUUUAUCCUUAUUCCUUUAUUUCCAUUAGGCCCCUUCGAGAGAAUCCUUCCAACCUUGGCAGCAAUUUGAAAUCUGAGAGCAGCGAGGAAAAGAUCUUGUUGAGAGCAUUGCCACGAAUCAAUUUUAUUUCUCUUUUCAUUUGACCUUCCUCUUUUAUUAACCAGCUCCACUGAGCAGUUUUAUUUGUCAGAAGUCUCUUUUUUAGGCGGUGGCAAUGAGAAGGUUACACUAAAACCACUUACGGGAGCGUUUAUUCUGUUUUACGAACGUUACCCUUUACAAUGUCGCGGGUGUGUGGCAGCCCCUUAACAGCAAACAGAAAAAAAAACAACCCCAAACCACAGAUCUUGCAAUUUUAUCAGGACAAUGCAAGUGGGUUUCAGCAAGGUUGGUUCCAACUCAUCUGUGAUAAAUGAGAAGAUAAGGCAAUCAGCGCACACCACGGCGGCCGUGCCGCUAGUUAGGCGCACUUCAGAGCUACUCAGGUGUGCUCACGGCGCUUCCGAGCCUUCCACGGGGGUGUCUCCCUAUAAAUACACCCUUCAUGGUGGCCACUAGAAAUGCAGGAGUUGCUUUGACUUAACCCAGGUCAGAUAUAAAUAAUAGACAUUAAGAUUUAGUUCUGAUGCCGAGGCUGUGUUAGAGGCUGUGUAUUUCAGUCGGGUCAAAAGAAUGCAUUUUCUUUUGGUUGUUUGGUGGGGUUUUGGUUUGUUUGUUUUUUUUUCCCCUUUUUCUUCUUUUCUUUGCACAGCUCCUCUGCUUGACAGAUGCCUGCAAAAUGUCAUCACACCUUUGUGUGGACCUGUUUGGGUCUCUAAGAGAGAAGGUUUCAGCCUCUCAGGAGCAAAGAUUUACAUCCAAGGAGUCCUCUUGGCCCUGCACCAACGAUUAAAGCCUGCAAAGGGCUGCAAACAGGUCACAGAAAAAUAGAUUUAUUUUUUUUGUCUGUUUGACCUUUGUGGAGGCCACUCAAGAAAUAAUCCCGUGUUAAAGUGAACUUUGUGUAGAGCAAGAUUCAAUAUGAAAACUGUAAUAUUUCACCCUGGCUUCUUAUUAAAAUAAUAUAAAAAUAGUGUUUUGGUAAUUUUGAAAUUGAGAUUGGAAAAUGCCCUCCUGAUAGUUCAGCUGAGUGAUUCUUAAAAUGUUGUAUUGUUUAUAGAUUUGAGUGAGGCUUGAAAUUUUUCCCACAACUGAGCUGCAUUCUAGUUACCAGAAGUAUUUUAAGAACCUUAAACUUGUGUCUUUUUCUAAGUGUCAUGCCUUGAGCAGGCCUAACAUCAGUUAAAUGAAGUGAAAAUUGCAUUCUUGUCUUGAUAGAGAUGAAAAUGGAUUUCUGGUCAUGAAAUAGAUGUAGUUGUCACUUUUUUAAAAAGGUGUCAGCAGUUUGCUUCAGCAAGUAAGGUGCCAAUUCAGUAUGACAGUAAACUUGUGAUCUGAGCAAUCAAUAAAAUGCUUCAAUAACUUCUGCUUCA